GACGGGGGAUGCAAGCGUUAUCCGGAAUCACUGGGCGUAACGCGUCUGUAGGUGGUGAUGCAAGUCACUGGUGCAAAACUCUGGCUCAACCGGAGGAAAGCCAGUGAAACUGCAUGACUAGAGUGUGGGAGAGGUAGAAGGAAUUCCCUGAGUAGCGGUGAAAUGCGGAGAUACAGGGAAGAACACCGGAGGCGAAAGCGUUCUACUGGAACACAACUGACACUGAGAGCCGAAAGCUAGAGGAGCGAAUGGG
rnacentral:rRNA from 1 species